rnacentral:rRNA from 1 species
AGUGGAUGGGGAGCAACCUAGUUGUGAGUGUGGAAAGGUAGUGCAAGAAAAGCUGUCAGAAUGAUGAGAAUUGAGUCCCGGUACCCGAAACCGACACAGGUAGGCAAGUAGAGAAUACUAAGGGGCGCGAGGUAACUCUCUCCAAGGAACUCGGCAAAAUGACCCCGUAACUUAGGGAGAAGGGGUGCCACCGAGAGGUGGUCGCAGUGAAGAGGCCCAGGCGACUGUUUAGCAAAAACAUAGGUCUCUGCAAACUCGAAAGAGGAAGUAUAGGGGCUGACGCCUGCCCAGUGCCGGAAGGUUAAAGAAGUUGGUCAGGAGAAAUCUGAAGCUGGCGACUGAAGCCCCGGUGAACGGCGGCCGUAACUAUAACGGUCCUAAGGUAGCGAAAUUCCUUGUCGGGUAAGUUCCGACCCGCACGAAAGGCGUAACGAUCUGGGCGCUGUCUCGGAGAGAGGCUCGGCAAAAUAGGAUUGUCUGUGAAGAUACGGACUACCUGCAGUUGGACAGAAAGACCCUAUGAAGCUUUACUGUAGCUUGAAAUUGUGUUCGGGCUUCCUGUGCGCAGGAUAGGUGGGAGGCGAGGAAGGUCUGCUUGUGGGCAGAUUGGAGCCAACCGUGAGAUACCACUCUCAGGAGGCUAGAAUUCUAACUUAAUUAAGGACAGUUUCAGGUGGGCAGUUUGACUGGGGCGGUCGCCUCCAAAAAGGUAACGGAGGCGUACAAAGGUUCCCUCACACUGGUUGGAAAUCAGUGGCAGAGUGCAAAGGCAGAAGGGAGCUUGACUGCGAGACGGACAAGUCGAGCAGGGUGGAAACACGGUCUUAGUGAUCCGACGGUGCUGUGUGGAAGGGCCGUCGCUCAACGGAUAAAAGUUACUCUAAGGAUAACAGGCUGAUCUCCCCCAAGAGUUCACAUCGACGGGGAGGUUUGGCACCUCGAUGUCGGCUCAUCGCAACCUGGGGCGGAAGUACGUCCCAAGGGUUGGGCUGUUCGCCCAUUAAAGCGGUACGUGAGCUGGGUUCAGGACGUCGUGAGACAGUUCGGUCCAUAUCCGAUGUAGGCGUGAGAAUAUUGAGAGGAGCCUUCCUUAGUACGAGAGGACCGGGAAGGACGCACCGCUGGUGUACCUGUUAUGAUGCCAAUCGUAAACGCAGGGUAGCCAAGUGCGGAGAGGAUAACCGCUGAAAGCAUCUAAGUGGGAAGCCCACCUCAAGAUGAGUAUUCUGGUGUAAGGUCACGGGGAGACGACCCGUAGAUAGGCACGAGGUGGAAGUGCAGAGAUGUAUGAAGCCGAAGUGUACUAAUAGACCGUCGGCUUGAUC